UGGCACAUAAAGACACACACACACACACACAAGGAAGAAGGUCAUGUGGCGGUGGAGACAGAGAUGGCAGAGACGCAGCUGCAAGCCCAGAAACACCGAGGACAGCUGGCAGCCACCAAAAGCCAAAAAGAUGCAACACGCUAGGAAGAGGGAAGGACAUGUUGUUCUCACCUCACAGUGAAAUUGAGAUUGUUGUUGUUCAGUAGCUCAGUCAUGUCCAACUGUUUUGCGACCCAAUGGACUGCAGCCCCCCAGGCUCCUCUGCCCAUGGAAUUUUCCGAGCAAGCAUACUGGAGUGGGUUGCCAUUUCCUGCAAGAUCCCAUGUUAAUCCAGAAUAUAUCCCAGAAGAUUUGGAAUGUGGAUCACCAUCUAAAUCCAAAGAGCCUCUGUGCUUGGAUUAGCUCCACUGGGCAUGAAACAAGAGUCUUCUUGGAGAAGAAAAUGGC
ensembl:lncRNA